UAAAAGUGUUUCUAACUGUCUCCUUAGCGUUGGCUCACAGGUCUGAAUCACAGAGAAAAGAGCCUCCCUGCGAAGCUGACAGUUCAAAGAUACAAAGGAAAAAUUUGCAAGGACACACAUGGAAAACUUGAGUUGUGCUCAAGUAAAUUUGAUUCACUGUAAAUGUCACUGCAGAUAAAGCUUUUCAAGAAGGGUGCAAGAGUAGACAGGACUUGGAGGAUCAGCUAGUAACCUGCUGGACACAUGGAUAGGUCAUGUGGAUUCCUUACACGGCAGGAAGUUGGAAGUUGGACAACCUACUUGGAUUUCAUCCGUAAGACCAUGGACAACAUAUAUUGGAAUGGUUGUUUGGAUUUAGAAUGAAGAGAUGAACAGGACCAGAAAGUCAAAGAGUGUGAUUUGAGCACCAGGAGUUGAAGCAAUCAACUUGGCUCAUGAUCAAGGUGCAAACAUUGCAGCUAGAUCUUCAGUGUGCGCCAUGCCAAAGAACAGAGAGCUCUGCGGAAAUCCUGGCCAUGGAGAUGAGUUGAAAGUCAGCUCAAGAUGAUGCGUGUGAAGGGCUUAACAAUUUUGAUAUAGUGUCUAUUGAGCCUCGGCAGAAAGCUCUAUCAAGAGGCAAAAAAUUAGCACUGAAAUGCUCAGCCUCUGUUUAACCAAGUGGCCAGAGGCUUGGACAAAUACUCAGAUCUACUCGCUAGGGGAUUGGGCACAAGUUUGCUGAGAGGAGUGACGAGCUCUGGCUCAGACAUGAGACAUACUGGAGCCACAGGUCUCACAUGUACAAGCCUCAGUGCAAGAACUAAGGCCAUGCUUUCUUUCCACAAUUAUUUCUGGAGUGAUAACUUUUGGCUCCCUGCAGUUUGCCAACAGAGCUGUAGAUUCCUGAAAAAUUGCUUCGAGCGUACUGACCUUUCUAUUCUGAGCCACCUUUCACUCAUCCCUUAGAAACAGCAGCGAGCCCCAGGGAAGCACAGCCUGCAGGCUGCAAACCACUGCCCUAGAUACUCCUCAGGCAGUUCUGAAGCACCAGCUUUCCCCAGGCUGCAGAAAAUCUGACCUUAGCAUAACCUUUCUGGAGAGACAGACCCAGGCAGAAAAAACACCCUUUGGGAAGGUUUCAGUGAAGUAAUCCCUCAUGGGCAGUGGCCUGCAGCGAAGCACCAACCCCUCUUUCUUUUAGUAGAAACUCGUCUCUACUGAUUUCAUCUUAUCACAUGCUAGAUAACCACCGAGGGCUGCUCCGAAAGUAAUGCCUCCUAUUUUAUUAUGUUGGCCCACAAUGUCAGACGUGAAUGUUGUUGGUAUAGUAGCAGAAGUUGAACCUUCCCAGCAAUAUCUCAUUACAUGCUGUUGCCGUGUGACAGAUGGCAGCAGAGGGGCAGUCUUACAAAAUGGCAUCUGUCAUGGAAGCACACAUGAAGUAAAGGUGUGGCACUGAAUUCCUCUACAUGGGAAAAUGGCAUCCACUGACAUUCACUGACAUCUGUUGAACGUUUAUGGAGACCAAUCAGUGGAUGUGAACACAGUGAGGUGAUGUGUGGUACAUUUCAGCAGUGGCGACAGUGACGUGGGAGACAUGCCAAGUUCUGAAUGGCCAUGCAGAGCUGUCACACCAUGAAACAAAGAGCUCAUCUCAAUCAGUUCACCUGUGUGAACUGCGAUUAUACACAGGGAACUGUAUAUGGAGCUUAAUAUCAACUUCAGUGCGUUGGAAAUGAUGGUGACAAUAUUGGAAUAUCAAAAAGUUUGCACCAGGUGGGUCCCAUGAAUGCUCACACAGGCACAGAAAUAACAUCAUAUGCAAGUUUGUCAGGAUCUGUUGAACCAAUAUGAGGCUGAAGGUGACUGCUUUCAGGACCAUAUCAUUACCAGUGAUGUGGUGUCACACUAUGAGCUGGAGUCAAAACAGCAGUCCAUGGAGAGGCAACAUGUGAAUUCCACACUGAAGAAAAAGUUCAAGAUGCAGUCCUUAGUGAGUAAAGUGAUGCGUGCUGUUUCUUGCGAUAGGAAAGGAGCAGUCCUUCUGAAUUUCAUGGAACCUGAACAAACCAUCAACUCUGACCACUAUGUAGCAAGAUGAAGGUUCAAAGUUGCAGUCAGGCCAGAGAAGAAUACAACCUUUCUCUUGCAAUGCAAUAAUGCCAGGCCCCAUAUCAGUCUGAAGACCAUUAAGCACACUGUCAGUCUUGGCUGCACUGUCCUACCAUACCCACUGUAUAGUCUAGAUUUGGUCCCUUCUGAUUUCCAUCUGAUCAGACCAAUGAAAGAUGGAUUGUGUGGGCAACCUUUUCCUUGUAACGGCAGCUGUGUAAUAGUGGGUCACCUUUACUGGUGCAGAUUGUUACAACCACAGCGUGCAGGCUCUUGUUCACCUCUGAUGAUAAUGUGUAUCUACUGGUGGUGAUUAUGUUGAAAGAUUGUGUUUUGUAGCUGAGAAUUUGCUCUGUCAAAUAAUGUUAUUGUGCUCUUUGUAUCUGUUGUAGUUUCCAUGGAAAUAAGCAGGAAGCCUUACUUUCAGAGCAACCUACAUACAACGUUCAGUGGACUUUCAUGAACCUAUGUACACCUCUUCUUUCUCAUAUUCCUUGCCAAAGUCUGAACAGAACAUUUUCGUGGAUUUUUUUUUCUUUUUGUCAGUCCAAUGAAAUAAAACUAUCAAGAGACUGUAUUGAUUUUCUAACACAAUCUGAGGGAAAACAGGUUUCUUGUCAACUUCCUUUUCUCCUGGCUGCCCACCCAUGAAAUGCUGCAGAGCCAAAAGGCUACUAGCUCUGGGAAUUUCAGAGCACUCUGCAAAGCAGGCACCUCAAAACCCUGAUAGUUCCUUACUGCCAAUGAGGAGAUGUCUGGUCUCUGAGUGACUCAGGAA
ensembl:lncRNA